GUUGAGCCUUGGAGAUGCCCUUA
rnacentral:siRNA from 1 species